UCAGGAUGAACGCUAGCGAUAGGCUUAACACAUGCAAGGUCGAGGGCAGCACGGUGUAGCAAUACACUGGUGGCGACCGGCGUACGGGUGCGUAACACGUAUGCAACCUACCCGCUAUUGGGGGAUAACCCGGCGAAAGUCGGACUAAUACCCCAUAUUAUUCUUACCGGGCAUCCGGUAGGUCUGAAAGAUUUAUCGAUUGCGGAUGGGCAUGCGGAUGAUUAGCUAGUAGGUGGGGUAACGGCUCACCUAGGCGACGAUCAUUAGGGGUUCUGAGAGGAAGGUCCCCCACACUGGAACUGAGACACGGUCCAGACUCCUACGGGAGGCAGCAGUGAGGAAUAUUGGUCAAUGGGCGCUAGCCUGAACCAGCCAAGUCGCGUGAAGGAUGACAGAAUCUAUGGUUUGUAAACUUCUUUUGCAGGGGAGUAAAGUGCGACACGUGUGUUGUAUUGCAAGUACCCUGCGAAUAAGCAUCGGCUAACUCCGUGCCAGCAGCAGC
rnacentral:rRNA from 1 species